ACCUGGAGGAGGAGCCAUAGAUUGUGAGGGAGGAGCCAGAGCAGGAGCCAGCCAUGGUAUAGAGCAGAGGGUUGACAGCACUGCUGAGGAUGUUGACCAGGUGGUACGGAGCCCACAAGAGGGCGAAAGUCACGACUAUCAGUGUGAUGAGGCGGUUGGUCUUCCUGUAGGAGCGGUGGUGCCAGUGGGCACGGCUGGAUGCUAAGGCAUGAGCGAUGCGUAAGUAGCAGAACGUCAUGAUGCUGAAGGGGACCAGGAACGCAGUAACUGUUUCUAGGGAAUAGUGGAACACCUGGUGGAGAGGAUAGGACGAGAAACGAUUUGAUUUCAUUAUUAAAGUGUCUUCAGGAUGCCAAGCCCACAUGGGGUUACAUUUUAGUACGAGUGUAAUUACAUAUUUUAUCUACUUAAAUUGCAGUUCUUGUCUGUUACAAAUAAAUGCAUCAAAAACUAUGUUGACAGAUUGAUCAAUUGUUUUAGCUAUAUCCACAUCUAUUUAGAAUAAAUAUGCAUAUAGAAUUUAAAAAAUCUACGAUAUGUUUUAUGGAAAACAGAUGAAAUAAUGUGGUGUACAAUACUAAAAUAACAAGAUGUAUGAAGGAAUAUUCUGUCAGUAAAGUUACCUGGUGGGCGGGCCCGGGGUGAUGCGUGGUACACUCCCCCUUUCGGACCUGGCGGUACACAAGCUGAGGAGUGGGAAGCACCGUAGCCAGCGCCCACACCACACACAUGAUAGGAAAGAGCUUCGACUUCGUCCGGACUCGCUGGGACCAGAAAGGGCGUAGCACGCCAUGGAGUCGGUCGACCCCCAUCAAGACUCUGGCCUUGAAGAGCUGGUGAAUAAACAAGGGUGCGGAGAGCAGCACGAGUGCGUCAGCGGCCGCUAGCUGGAGGAUGAAGAGGGACGUGAUGGAACGACGACUCAGGCGGAAUAGUAUGGUCCAAACCACUAGGAGGUUUCCGGGGAGACCCAAGGCCAUAGCAACCAGGAGAAAGGAGAUUCCGACAGAAUAAGAAAUGGAGGGGUUGGGAGUGGAUGAGUCGGUAGAGAAGUAGGUGGUGGUAUUCCAUGCUGUGGAUUCCAUC